CACGUAGGGCGCAAGCGUUGUCCGGAAUUAUUGGGCGUAAAGAGCUCGUAGGCGGUCUGUUGCGUCUGCUGUGUAAACUCGGGGCUUAACCCCGAGCCUGCAGUGGAUACGGGCAGACUAGAGGUAGGUAGGGGAGAAUGGAAUUCCCGGUGUAGCGGUGAAAUGCGCAGAUAUCGGGAGGAACACCGGUGGCGAAGGCGGUUCUCUGGGCCUUACCUGACGCUGAGGAGCGAAAGCGUGGGGAGCGAACAGG
rnacentral:rRNA from 1 species